rnacentral:lncRNA from 1 species
GAUCUUUUGGUUAAUGAUUGUAUUGAAGAAGUUAAAACCAGACCUCAUGUUAUAAAUCCGUUAACAAUUUCGAUAUAUGCUUUCCCUUUUAUUAGUGCAUGCUUUUAGCCGGGGUCACCGGCUGAGUAAUUUCUAUGUCGCCUGUCAUAGGUAAUGUAACCAGAUUAAUAACUAGAAAUUUGUAUAGAUUGAUUGAGUCACGUGUUUCAUGGGACUAUAGUUUUAUCUUGACUGAGGGUAUAAGAGGUCAUAUGUGAGUUACAGUUUUGGAAACAAAAAAUUUUGCUUUAAAUUCGAAAUGUUUUUCAGAGUAUACAAUACAAUAUUUUAUUUUAAAAUUAAAGGGCCCAAUAAGAGCAUAACAUUAAUAACGUCAUGACAUAAACAUUACAGAGUGAUUAAAGAAACAUAAAAUAUAGUUCAAAUGCACGAGGAAAGGGUCAGUGGUCAAGGGGAGAUAAUUUUUUCAGUAUAAGGUUCCAUAUAUAAUUGUGUAUUGGGUGCUAGCAGUUUUGCUUAUGGAGCUUAUUUAUGUGACUAUGUCUAUUAGAGAAUCAGGUGUUUAUUUUUUUUAUUUUUAUUUUUUUUUUUAAUGUGGACUGGUUGAGGGACAGGAUUAAGUUUGAUAUGGAGAGAAAAGAAGGCUAUAGAAUUAUGUAUAGAUACUAUUCAAGGUCAGUUAUUCAUGCGGGAAUGUCUUGAAGUGGUUUACGGACAGUCAGAAUUGUGUGGGUAUAGUGGAGUCAGGUAGUGGUAAAAACGCAACUACAUAGUUGGCGAUGUCAAUAUUUUCUAGUUGUGUAAAGAAUUCUAUUAAUUUAGAUAUUGAAUGGAUACCUAGAGAUAAAAAUGUUAAAGCAGAUGCUAUAAGCAAGGUUUUUUUAUUUUGACGAUUGGG